rnacentral:misc_RNA from 1 species
UAAUAAGUGUUUUUAUGGCACUUUUUAAAUCCAUAUCCACCUUGUGUGCAAUGUCGGUCGAUCUUCUUUUUUUGAGGAUCGACCAAACAUCAACCUUUAUUUUUAACUCUUUGAUCUGAAAAAUAUUAUGAAUAAACAAUUCAAAAUA